rnacentral:rRNA from 1 species
AGAGUUUGAUCAUGGCUCAGAUUGAACGCUAGCGGGAUGCUUUACACAUGCAAGUCGAACGGCAGCGCGGACUUCGGUCUGGCGGCGAGUGGCGAACGGGUGAGUAAUGUAUCGGAACGUGCCCAGUAGCGGGGGAUAACUACGCGAAAGCGUAGCUAAUACCGCAUACGCCCUACGGGGGAAAGCGGGGGACCUUCGGGCCUCGCACUAUUGGAGCGGCCGAUAUCGGAUUAGCUAGUUGGUGGGGUAAAGGCCUACCAAGGCGACGAUCCGUAGCUGGUUUGAGAGGACGACCAGCCACACUGGGACUGAGACACGGCCCAGACUCCUACGGGAGGCAGCAGUGGGGAAUUUUGGACAAUGGGGGCAACCCUGAUCCAGCCAUCCCGCGUGUGCGAUGAAGGCCUUCGGGUUGUAAAGCACUUUUGGCAGGAAAGAAACGGCUCUGGCUAAUACCUGGGGCAACUGACGGUACCUGCAGAAUAAGCACCGGCUAACUACGUGCCAGCAGCCGCGGUAAUACGUAGGGUGCAAGCGUUAAUCGGAAUUACUGGGCGUAAAGCGUGCGCAGGCGGUUCGGAAAGAAAGAUGUGAAAUCCCAGGGCUUAACCUUGGAACUGCAUUUUUAACUACCGGGCUAGAGUGUGUCAGAGGGAGGUGGAAUUCCGCGUGUAGCAGUGAAAUGCGUAGAGAUGCGGAGGAACACCGAUGGCGAAGGCGGCCUCCUGGGAUAACACUGACGCUCAUGCACGAAAGC